rnacentral:rRNA from 1 species
GUCUACGGCCAUACCACCCUGAACGCAUCUGAUCUCAUCUGAUCUUGGAAGCUUAGCAGGGUCGGGCCUGGUUAGUACUUGGAUGGGAGAGAGAGGCCAGUUUUCUGUGGCAG